AUGAGGAACUACUGAACUCAAUCACUUGCUGCCGUUACUCAACAGUUUUCUGUUGAGGUCUAUCCCGUAGAGGUAGUCAAAUUAGAACGGGAGGAGAGGAGGUGAGUAGGGGUAGUUCAAUGG
rnacentral:pre_miRNA from 1 species